AGAGUUUGAUUCUGGCUCAGGAUGAACGCUAGCGGCAGGCUUAACACAUGCAAGUCGAGGGGCAGCGCGGGGUAGCAAUACCCUGGCGGCGACCGGCGCACGGGUGCGUAACGCGUAUGCAACCCACCUGUAACAGGGGGAUAACCCAGGGAAACUUGGACUAAUACCCCAUAUUGCUUUAUUCCCGCAUGAGAAGGGAGCGAAGGAUUCAUCGGUUACAGACGGGCAUGCGUGACAUUAGGUAGUUGGCCAGGCAACGGCCCACCAAGCCGACGAUGUCUAGGGGAGCUGAGAGGCUUAUCCCCCACACUGGUACUGAGACACGGACCAGACUCCUACGGGAGGCAGCAGUGAGGAAUAUUGGUCAAUGGACGGAAGUCUGAACCAGCCAUGCCGCGUGAAGGAAGACGGCCCUAUGGGUUGUAAACUUCUUUUGUUGGGGAGCGAUAAGGGUCAUGCGUGAUCCGAUGAGAGUACCCAGCGAAUAAGCAUCGGCUAACUCCGUGCCAGCAGCCGCGGUAAUACGGAGGAUGCAAGCGUUAUCCGGAUUUAUUGGGUUUAAAGGGUGCGUAGGCGGACUGGUAAGUCAGCGGUGAAAUAUGCCGGCUCAACCGGCAGGCUGCCGUUGAUACUGCCAGACUAGAGUACAAACGGCGCCGGCGGAAUAUGUCAUGUAGCGGUGAAAUGCUUAGAGAUGACAUAGAACACCGAUCGCGAAGGCAGCUGGCGAGGAUGGCACUGACGCUCAUGCACGAAAGCGUGGGGAUCAAACAGGAUUAGAUUACCGUGGUAGUCCACGCAAGUAAACGAUGAUGACUUGUUGUCAACGGUAGACAGUCGGCGACAAAGCGAAAGCGAUAAGUCAUCCACCUGGGGAGUACGAUCGCAAGGUUGAAACUCAAAGGAAUUGACGGGGGCCCGCACAAGCGGAGGAGCAUGUGGUUUAAUUCGAUGAUACGCGAGGAACCUUACCCAGACUCUAAUGCAGAUGGAGCUCGGCAGAGAUGCCGGGGCCCUUCGGGGCCGUCUGCAAGGUGCUGCAUGGUUGUCGUCAGCUCGUGCCGGGAGGUGUCAGGUUAAGUCCUAUAACGAGCGCAACCCCUACGUCCAGUUGCCAGCGGGUAAAGCCGGGGACUCUGGAGGGACUGCCGGCGCAAGCCGAGAGGAAGGUGGGGAUGACGUCAAAUCAGCACGGCCCUUACGUCUGGGGCGACACACGUGCUACAAUGGCCGGUACAGAGGGCAGCGACACUGCGAGGUGGAGCGAAUCUCGAAAGCCGGUCUCAGUUCGGAUCGGAGUCUGCAACCCGACUCCGUGAAGUUGGAUUCGCUAGUAAUCGCGCAUCAGCCAUGGCGCGGUGAAUACGUUCCCGGGCCUUGCACACACCGCCGGUCA
rnacentral:rRNA from 1 species